rnacentral:rRNA from 1 species
GAAUUCGGCAAAAAUAAUAUUCGCCUGUUUAACAAAAACAUGUCUUUUUGAAUUAAAUUUAAAGUCUAACCUGCCCACUGAAAAUUUUAAAUGGCCGCAGUAUUCUAACUGUGCAAAGGUAGCAUAAUCAUUAGUCUUUUAAUUGAAGGCUGGAAUGAAUGGUUGGACGAAAUAUUAACUGUUUCAUUUAAAUUUUUUUUAGAAUUUUAUUUUUUAGUCAAAAAGCUAAAAUAAAUUUAAAAGACGAGAAGACCCUAUAAAUCUUUAUAUUUUAUUUAUUUUAAUUGUAAAGAUUAAUUUUAUUAUAAUAAAUUAAAAUAUUUUAUUGGGGUGAUAUUAAAAUUUAAAAACUUUUAAUUUUUAAAACCAUUAAUUUAUGAAUAAUUCAUCCAUUAAUAAUGAUUAAAAAUUUAAGUUACUUUAAGGAUAACAGCGUAAUUUUUUUGGAGAGUUCAUAUCGAUAAAAAAGAUUGCGACCUCGAUGUUGGAUUAAGAUAUAAUUUUGGGUGUAGCCGUUCAAAUUUUAAGUCUGUUCGACUUUUAAAUUCUUACAUGAUCUGAGUUCAAACCGGCGUAAGCCAGGUUGGUUUCUAUCUUUAAAAAAUUAUAAUAUUUUAGUACGAAAGGACCAAAUAUUAGAAUAAUUAUAUUUUUAAAAAAGAAUAUUAUUAUUAAUUAAAAAGCUAUUUUGGCAGAUUAGUGCAAUAAAUUUAGAAUUUAUUUAUGUAAUUUUUUUUACAAAUAGUACUUGUUUUAUAUAGAAUUAGUUAUAUCUUUAAUUGGAAGUUUAUUAUUUAUAAUUUGUGUAUUAGUAAGAGUUGCUUUUUUAACUUUAUUAGAACGUAAAGUUUUAGGUUAUAUUCAAAUUCGUAAAAGACCUAAUAAAGUUGGGUUAAUAGGAAUUC